rnacentral:tRNA from 1 species
GCAGUCGAAGUCCUUGUUUUUCAGUGCUUUUCGCCCCGUCACGCCGGUCUUCGGAACCGGGGGUUGGAGGUUCGAAUCCUCCCGGGUGUA